ensembl:lncRNA
UUUGGAUUAUAUUGUUGGUUUUUUCCCCCAUGGAGGAAAAAACUUAUUUUAAAAUACAACAUAAAUUGAGUGUUUAAUGCAAAUACAGGAAUGAAGCUGGAGGGUAGGAGUGCUUCCAGAGGAGGCCAUCACCCCAGGAGAAGCAGCUGGACUCAGAGCCGGGGAGUCCCAGAGCCUUUGGCAGGCCCUGUCCUUGCGUGGGGAGAUCAGCGAGUUCCCAGUGCAGGGACCAAGGACAUUCCCAAGCCUGUCCUCAGCCAGCUGGUCCUGCAGGGCUGUUCGGAGCAUCCAGGUCUUCUGUCAUGUUUUCUUCCCCAGAAAAACCUCCCAGACAUAGGAAGCCCUUUCAGAAGACACAUUUGCCUCUCCACAGCUCCACCCAUUAUUCUUUACCACUGGUGAUGUUCUGUUCUUCUUGGGACACCACAGCGUUAUUUGUCUUUCCAGACCAAAAAUAUAUCCCUCAGGAGUAUGGCGGUUUUUAAGCUCACACCAAGGGAAUGCUUGUAGAGGCCUUGUGUUUUCUUGUGAUAUUUCCCAGCGAUGCGCCUGAAAGGGAGAGGCUAGCCAACUGUUGCUAAACGCAGUAUUCUUUUGUGAAUAAAAAGGCCCUGACUGCAGCCAAACCGGGAUCUGGCUUGGCCGGGUGUGGGACAGGAGCAGUCACCGCAAGCUCCCCAGACAUGUGUCUGAGCCCCUGUGUGGCCUGAGGCUGUCCCAGUUAGUCAUGGCAGUAGAAAGGCUCUCCCUGCUCGAGAUGCAAAAGACUCACCAUCCAAACAGCUGGAGUCACCACGUGCCCACUGCGACUGUCUAGCCGUCUGCCCCUCGACAGGGCCCAAAAUGAUCCAGCCCUGGAGGCCAGCUUUGAAAACCCAAGGCAAGGUCUCACUGUGUUGCCCAGGCUGGAGUGCAGUAGCCCAGUCAGCUCACCGUAACCUUGAACUCCUAGACUCAAGCAAUCCUCCCACCUCAACCUCUCGAAGAGCUGGGAUUACAGACAUGCACCACUAAGCCUGAUUCAUUUUUUUAAACUUUUUGUAGAGAUGGGGUCUUGCUGUGUUGCCCAGGCUGGUCUUCAAUUCCUGACCUCAAGUGAUCCUCCUGCCUCAGCCUCCCAGAGCUCUGGGAUUAGAGAUGUGAGCCACUGUGCCUGGUCUCAUGAUAACUUUUUAUAAAGAAAAAAGUUUAAAUCCUCUGUUUCUUCUCUUCCUCAUCUUCCCUUACUUUACCCACAAACAGGGAAAGAACUUCCUAGCAGGAGCCAUUUCGUUCUGUCUUGGGAGCAUUUGUUUCCUUCUCAGUUUCUUAGAAAAUGCAGAGUCUGCUUGUUAGCACCGCACCGUAUCAAAUGCGUGUGAUUUCCAUUCGGCCUGCACCCACGGCAGUGGGCUCUGCCGGACUCCUCCCCAUGGGGGGACCUGGGAGGGGGCUGAAAGGCCUGGGGCUGGUGGGAAGUGGUACUCCCUCCAGCAUGGCGGUUUGGAGUCUUAGCCAUGGCCCAGGGACACUGCCCCUCCCCACCCCCAAGACCCUUCCAGACAACACUGCCUGCUUGGGAUGC